rnacentral:rRNA from 1 species
GGUAACUUCGUGGCAGUGGCCGGGGGAAUACGAAGGAUGGUGGCGUUUGCCGGAUUUAUUGGGUUUAAAGGGUGCGUAGGCGGUCUUAGAAGUCAGUGGUGAAAUCCAAUCGCUUAACGAUAGACGUGCCAUUGAUACUGUAGGACUUGAGUACAGAUGCCGUUGGCGGAAUGUGUCAUGUAGCGGUGAAAUGCAUAGAUAUGACACAGAACACCGAUUGCGAAGGCAGCUGACGAAACUGUAACUGACGCUGAUGCACGAAAGCGUGGGGAUCAAACAGGAUUAGAUACCCGAGUAGUC